rnacentral:lncRNA from 1 species
AUCAGCCUGCGCGAUACCGUGCUGCCGUAUGUUAUUGUUUACUCAUCCAAGAUGCACCUGCUUGCUGCAGGGAGAUUUACAGUGAAAAGAAAAGGCAAACUCCGCAGUCUAAAUUGGACACAUUUUUGAAGAAGCCCAGCACUGCUGUCUACUCACCCCCUGUAGGUGAUCCAACUCCUGAAGGACAUGAUGUUGAUCCACCAUCACAAGCCUUCUCUUCUGCUUCAUCCAAUUUAGCUUCAUUAAAAAUUUCACUCGUGUCCAGUGUGAUUCAGCUGACUACAUUAACGUGCAUGUGGAGAUGUGGUGGUGAGCCGCACUAUGUUACCGUGUUCAGGCCAACCAGAGGGGUGGUGGAAGUGUGCAGAUGGAAGACAACCUCAACGCUCGGUGUUCAGCUCCUCAGAGCUUCCCCGUUCCUGCAAGCCAAUCUGGAAGUGUCCAUUUUCCAGCAGGACAAUGCAAAAGGCAAAGUGCUGGGAAUACAACGGCACAACUGCAAGGAAAUGAUGCCAAGGUCUUGCCAUGCCCAGCUUUUUCUCGAGUCCAGUAGAGCAGCUGUGGAAACCACUUGCCUGUGACAUUAUACAGGAGACAACCGUGACAGGCAACCCUUCGUCAGCUUGUGGCAGUUACACAUAACGACUAGCAGAACAGCCCACAGCAAUCUGUCCAGAGGCUGCUCAGGCCCACACGUGGGCAGUGCAAGGAACAUGUUAAUGCUCAAGGCAGUGGACCCAGCUCUCGCUCUGACAGAGUGUAAUGUGUCUUACAGAAAUCUGAUUGCAAUUCUUCUAUCGAAAUUGGUAGUCACCAUUUUUGUGAUUUUGUUUGGUAUUCAUAAUUAAUGGACUGUUUAAAUACCAAAGUGUUGUGUUUCUUUUGUUUGUUGGUAUUUAGCAUUUGUCUUGUAUUAAAUUAUUAUCACAAACUAAUUUAGAAACACUUUUUAUUAUCGUGCCAUUGAUUAAUAUUUUAAAAUGCUAGAUAUUUUCAAUAAACUAGUUAGGACAUAUUCCCAAGAUAGUAUCUGUUAAUAAAAUGCCGUGAAUAUUUCACAUUUGAUGCCAGCAAAGCAGUUUAACGUGCAACCUAGAAAUCCAC